GUACUGCAGGUGGCGCCUAGAGGAUCUCGGAGUCGGAAGAGGCGACGGCCGCGGGGCGCCUGGCAGCCCGCCCUCGGGUGAGUGGCCGCGCGCCCUCCCUUCCCGGGUCAGGUGUGCACCCUGCUCCCGAGUCUCGGUUGGGAGUCGGUGCCCUAGCCCGUCGCUGUGGCCAGGCGCGGCAGAAGACCUCGUAAUCCUGCAGCCCUUGCAUGUAGCGCGAUGUCCCCCAACCAGUAGAGGUCGAGACGAAACCUCCCGGCGAGAAAGUUGCACACCCGGAUUCCCGGUGGCUUCAGCUACCGCGCACGUAAGGGACGAGCAGUUCUGUCUUCCCAUCGUCUGGAAUGACGGUCGGAAAGACGAAGCGUCGCUCAGUUCGUGUUUGUGAAGCCGCCAUAACCGUAAUUCCUGCGCUGUUAACUGAGUUCAGCCUCCUCUUUUGGAAAAACAACCCCCCCCAAGAAGUGGGAACUGCUUCCCGAGACCGUUGUGAGGCGUAAGAAAAUUUCCGUUAGGUGAAGUGCUCGCUGAAGUACCGCGCCCGGCGUGGGAUGAGGAUCCCUGGCAAAGGACCUUGGAACCUCAAGCCAGAUACUGUUGCCCACCUAGAAUUUGGAAUAGAGCAAUGCAUGAUGGACAGAGGGCUCUCCCAGGAUUCCCGCCUAGAAAGGAAGAAGAGACCUAGAAGCCAAGAGUUGCCACCAACAGAGGCCUUUGCUGGGAAGGAGUUACCCAGCAGCAUGAACCUGACGAAGCCUGUAGUGGAUGGUUGCUGGUGUUCUACCACAGCAGAUAGCUGGGAACCUGGGGACGAGUCGGAGAAGCAGAAGACACACAGUGCCAUUUCCGGGCUGACGGGACAUAAACAAGGGCAAGUAGUGAGACCCGGGUUGGGGACUGGGGAAAUGCUGCAAUUGUGGGAAAAUGCAGCUUCAAUUCAGACUUUUUCUUCACGGAGAUUUCUUGUUAAAGAGUAUUUCUAUCAAAUUGACUCAACUCAAAGCGUACAGCAUAAUUUUAUUUUAAAAAAUCAUCAGGAAAUCUUGGUGGGGAAGAAACCUUGUAAAGGCAGUCCGUGUGGAAAACCUUUGGGAAACCUGUCAAAGUUGAAUGAGCAUGGUAAAGAUACCAGCCAGAGCUUAUUCCUCUCUACACAUGAGAUAAUUAACAUAGGAGAGAAAUUCUAUGGAUUUAAAGAAAGUGGAGAUUUUUUUAUCUAUAGCUCACCCCUUUCUCAGGUCAUGAGAACUCCUACUAAGGAGAAAUCCUAUUAAUGUAAUGAAUGUGGGAAAGCCUUUAAGAAACUUUCAUCUCUUUCUUACCAUCUGAGAAAUCACGGUAGAGAGAAAGCCUAUGGAUGUAAUGAAUGUGGGAAGUCUUUCUGGCAGAGCCUACACCUCAUUUUACACCGGAGAACUCACACUGGUGAGAAACCUUAUGAGUGUAAUAAAUGUGGAAAGUCUUUUAGCCAAAAUUCUCACCUUAAUGUACACCGGAAAAUUCAUACUGGAGAGAAACCGUAUAAAUGUGAUGACUGUGGAAAAUCCUUCAGUGGACGGUCUAAUGUCAGUGUGCAUAAGAACACAUACUGGAGAAAAACUCUAUAAAUGUAACGAAUGUGGGAAAGCCCUUAGCGACUGCUCCUUCGAUACACAACGUGAAAGGACGCACACUGGAGAGAAACUGUGGAGAGAAACGAAUGUGAUGAAUGCGGAAAAGCCUUUGGUCACAGCUCUCACCUUACGGUUUACAAGAGAAUCCAUACUGGUGAGAAGUCAUAUAAAUGUAACAGAUGUGGGAAAACUUUCAGUUUUCAUUUAUCCUUCACUCAACAUAAGAGAAUGCACACUGGAGAGAAACCAUAUAAAUGUCAUCCAUGCAGGCAGGCUUUUAAUCAAGGUUCUGAUUUUAUUGGGCACUAAAAAACUCAUACGAGGGAGAAAAAAAUACAUAUUUCAUUUUAAUAUAUAAAAACUGUACACAUACAUUUAAAUUUUGUGGGUUUUUUGGUGCAUUCCCAGAGAAGGGUUGAACCUACGUGGCAUUUGAUACCUAGGAAAAAUUUUUUAAUUAGUGAGAUCAAAAGUCUCUUUAGUAAUACUAACUAAUGUGAUUACCCAGUGUGGGAAGGGCUAUUGCUCAGAAGUCAAAACAGGUUGAGGAUAUUUGGCUGAAUGACUGAUGUACUGUCCCAAAGAGCCAGAGUGCCAUUAGUUGCUUCCUUGUUCCCCCAAUGCUAGAAAAUUGGGCUGCUUCUAAUUUGUUUCAGGAAUUCAUUAUAAACUGUAAUUAUGAACACUGUGUAGAAACAUGGAAAAUGCCUAGAAUACAGUUGGCCCUUGAACAACUGUUAGGGUCCGUGAUCAAAGAAC